UUUCAAACUAAGAAAUAAGAAGAGAGAAUUGUGUUUUUUCUUAAUGGAAGAAAUCUUCUUUUAAUGAAGGAAAUGCCUUCCUAUUUAUAGAGUUUUCCCUGCCACCGCUGAGCUGCGUCUUUGCACUGCUCAGCAGCUGACCAAACUCUUCAGCAUGGGUUUGGUCACUUGGUGAAGUAGCUUCGUCACCUCCUUAAGCUUGAAUCACCAAGGCUGGUUGUGAGCUAUGGGACCUAUGGUGAGCUACUCCUGAAAAGCCUAUGGUGGGCUACUUGAAGUGAGGUCAUGCAUGACUUCAUGGUUUCUUGAUGGCUAAGUUAUUCUGGGUGCACACCGCUGAGCACACAUGUGGCACCGUAAGCUUCCUGCUUGAGCAGCUUGGGCAUGUGCCAGGCUUGUGUCUGACCGUGCCAAGCUUAUGUUCUAGCCGUGUUAGGCUUUGUCUGGUGCUAGGCUGAGCAGUCAAGCAGGUCCGUGAAGCUGCCUUCUUGAGCAACUUGAUAUGUGCUAGGUUGAUUUGACUGAGCCAGGUUGGGUCUGACCGUGCCAGGCUGGUGUCCAGGUUAGCUCAGCGUAGCUUGGUCCAUGCUAAGCUGUCUGCUUGAGCACCUUGAGUUUGACUUCUUUUUCUUCAUGGACCAUGAGUCUUUAUUCUCCUUUCUUUUUCUUUCUAAAUCCUACAAAACAUAUUAAAGAUAAAUACAAACACAAAUAUACAAGAUUAUGAUAUUUUAUCCAAAAAGUAUUGUUUUUAAGUUGGUUUUUCUCAAUUAUGCUUAAGAUAAGUGCCAUAAAAGUGUAUGAAAUUUAGGUAUGUUUGACACUUAUCACUAAUUCGCCUACUAAGAUCUCCUAUCCAUUUGCGAUUCGGCCCCAACCUUAGUAUCGCUUGAACCUAGACCUCCUAGUCUCUGUGAAGAUUAUCAAAAUCUCUCUUGUAGUGAAACUAUUCACAAGAAAUCAACUUCCUUGUUCAAAUAUGAUUUUGUUGAGUUGUCUUGAGUACUUAAUACUCAGAUUCAACAAUUAAAACUCAAUAAAAAAGAUUAAACAAAAAAUUUACAAGAACCUAAUCUAAAUGAAAUUUAAUGCAUUGAAUUUUCAUAAAAUUGAUUUGCACACUUUUCAGAAAAAUAUAUUCCUCACUUUUCUCUCAAAGAUAUCAAGAACUGUAUGGAAGAAUACAAUGCAUAGAAAACUAGAGAAAACAUGCAAUGAUUUGAAUUUCUAAGCCUAAUUCAGAAUGCUCUCACGCUCUAAGUUUUCUAAACCCACUUUCUCACUGUAAUGCAAUGUAUGAUAAUGUAUGCUCUUUACUAUUUUCGAAAAUAUGCAAGUAAUGCCACAUUGGCAAGAAUUAUAACAUUUAUACUAAUCAUAUUGAUACUGCUAUUAAUCGAUUAUUCAUCCACUUAAUCGAUUAACGAGCUGUUAAAAGUUUGUUUUCUGUUACAUCUUAAUCGAUUAUAUAAUGUCUUAAUCGAUUAACGCACCAACAACAUCAGAUUGGUUAGUAACUGAAUUCUUGAUGUUCGAUUACACAUAAUACUAAAUCGAUUAUACUGAUUAAAAAUGUUUAUUUUGAUGUAUGGUAAACUACCUAUAUGAUAUGAACAUGCUAUGCAUAGUUUUUCAAAUAUAACAUCUUUAAUGCAUAAGACUAUGUAUGUGAAUAUAUGAUCCUACUAAUCAUAAGAUAUCUAGAUGUUAUGUCUCAAUUUUAAUCUUGUUUUUUUGUAGUUCUUGUGAGACUCCCACCUAAGUUUAUCUAACCAUAGACUCAAUCAAAGGCAACCAUCUUAAGAUUUCUAAUAAAAGUAAAUAUUAUAAUGCCCUUAGUCUAUAGAUGCAACCUCCAAGUUUUCGGCUCGUUGUUUGUUGUACGAUCUUCAAGCUUACUUGUAUAUUUAUUGUCUAUAUCAAAACUUAGGUUAGCAUCCAAUGUGUACGUUUUGAAUCUUUGCACUUUCAGUUUUAUGCAAGAACAUUUAUGAGUUGUCCAAAUUUAUAUCUAGAUAUAUAAACAUAGUUAUAUUUAUAUGUAUAAAAUUUUUUGUAAUAUUUUUUAAAAAUAAUUAAUUAUUUAAGUUGACCAAAUAAAUCAAUUCGAACUGGUUUGAAUAGUUGGCAAAUUUUUGGUUAGGCUCGUUUUGAUAAGUAUGUAUCGUGUCCCGCUGGUUUUGGUGAAGAUAAGACUGAUUUGUUUGUAUAAAUUAAAAUGAGAAUCAAAUAUAUCCAAUUUCUAUAAUAAUUUAAUCAAGAACGACACCCUUACCAGUUUUCUGAGACAAAUCAGAUCAGCUUCAACUCAUGACUUUCCCAUUCCAUAUCAUCCUUCAUCUAAAUUUCUAAAUUUUACAUUCUCCAAAUUAAUAUCGAAAUAUA
rnacentral:lncRNA from 1 species